rnacentral:rRNA from 1 species
GACGAACGCUGGCGGCGUGCUUAACACAUGCAAGUCGAACGAAGUGGCGAACGGGUGAGUAAUGCGUAAUCAACCUGCCCUUCAGAGGGGGACAACAGUUGGAAACGACUGCUAAUCCCGCAUACUGACUGCGGGGAUUGCGUCUGAUGAGCUAGUGGGGGGGGUAACGGCCAACCAAGGCGAUGAACGGUAGCCGGUCUGAGAGGAUGAACGGCCACAUUGGGACUGAGACACGGCCCAGACUCCUACGGGAGGCAGCAGUGGGGAAUCGUCCGCAAUGGACGAAAGUCUGACGGAGCAACGCCGCGUGUGUGAUGACGGCCUUCGGGUUGUAAAGCUCUUUUAAUCGGGACGCGGUACCGGAGUAGAAGGCCACGGCUAACUACGUGCAAGCAGCGGCGGAAAUC